CAACUUUGACAGAAAGUCAUUCCGGUGGUACCCAAGGAGCCUUCAAAGAGACCUAGUAUCAAAGACAUUCAGUCAUCACCUUAGGCCACUGGUAAGUGUCCAAUUA